rnacentral:rRNA from 1 species
CCUACGGGUGGCAGCAGUGAGGAAUAUUGGUCAAUGGACGAGAGUCUGAACCAGCCAAGUAGCGUGAAGGAUGACUGCCCUGUGGGUUGUAAACUUCUUUUAUAUGGGAAUAAAAUGUUCCACGUGUGGGAGUUUGUAUGUACCAGAUGAAUAAGGAUCGGCUAACUCCGUGCCAGCAGCCGCGGUAAUACGGAGGAUCCGAGCGUUAUCCGGAUUUAUUGGGUUUAAAGGGUGCGUAGGUGGAUUGUUAAGUCAGUGGUGAAAGUUUGAGGCUCAACCGUAAAAUUGCGGUUGAAACUGGCAGUCUUGAGUACAGUAGAGGUAGGCGGAAUGCGUGGUGUAGCGGUGAAAUGCUUAGAUAUCACGAAGAACUCCGAUUGCGAAGGCAGCUCACUGGACUGCAACUGACACUGAGGCUCGAAAGUGUGGGUAUCAAACAGGAUUAGAUACCCCUGUAGUC